CUUGAUCCGGACCUACUCUACCUGUUGGGAGGCGAGUAGGUACCUGCUGGCUCGUUCCUAUGGCUUGAUUUUGCUUGAUAACGUCCCAUUCAAUCUUCUGAUUCUAAUCAGAUAGGGAGCAGCGGCAGUGAAAAGGGUCCCAAGGCAAAAAUGUUCAGAAAUAAAUUUAAUGGAAAUUAAAAGCACAGAUUACACAGAUCUUCCACAUCCAGCAUUUUCAUCCAUAGAAACUCAGAAAGCUGAAGACUAUCAAGCUUACAUGUGUCAUUGCUGUCAAGAAGCCCGGGGGUUGAAAAACCCUGUCAUCCAGAAGCAGUUGGGUCUUCCCCCAAAGAUCCCGGAAUGGAACUGGCAGUUACUUUCCAACAGUUCAGUGAACUAGAAUCCCAGGAGGCCUGAAAGCAAUAUGUGAGUUUCUUCUAAGGCAGGCAUAUCCCAAAAGUAUCCAAAUUUGCGCCUCUCCUGCACGAUGGAAUGAAGGAAGGCUACUCCGUAGAGCAUUGGCUUCCAUUGGGUCAUGUUGCUAACAUCUAAUAUGUCCUGUCUGAUGCCUGUCAACAUAAAACAUUCAUUCAGAUUCCAGAUGAUGAUUCUAUUGCCUGUGAGAUAAAACAAAGUGAAAUACUGCCGAGCUAUUAUAUGACAGUGCUACACAAUCAUACAUGAUGGACAUGCAGAGUUAUAUCUCCGUGUGUAAAAGUAAGAAUAACUAUUGUAAAGAACCAUGAAUCCUAACGGAAAGCAAUAAUAACAAUGAUAACUGAAACAGGUAAAUAUAUAAUAAGGAGACUGGUGAUUUUGUGUACUUGUUUUAGGCACAUUUGUAUUAAUUUCAUGGUCCCCAGAUGUAUUGGAAACUAUAAAAAACCAAUAAUGUAUUAAUGCAAUUCAUGCCCUCACUUGGCUUAUUUUAUACUAAGAAAUGCUAUUGGAAAAGGGCCCAAAUAAACAUGUAAGGCACUUA